AGAGUUUGAUCCUGGCUCAGGAUGAACGCUGGCGGCGUGCCUAAUACAUGCAAGUCGAACGCACUGUGGUUCAACUGAUUUGAAGAGCUUGCUCUGAUAUGACGAUGAACAUUGCAGUGAGUGGCGAACGGGUGAGUAACACGUGGGAAACCUACCUCUUAGCGGGGGAUAACAUCUGGAAACAGAUGCUAAUACCGCAUAACACUAGCAACCGCAUGGUUGCUACUUGAAAGAUGGUUCUGCUAUCACUAAGAGAUGGUCCCGCGGCGCAUUAGUUAGUUGGUGGGGUAAUGGCAUCCCCAAGACGAUGAUGCGUAGCCGAGUUGAGAGACUGAUCGGCCCCAAUGGGACUGAGACACGGCCCAUACUCCUACGGGAGGCAGCAGUAGGGAAUCUUCCACAAUGGACGAAAGUCUGAUGGAGCAACGCCGCGUGUGUGAUGAAGGGUUUCGGCUCGUAAAACACUGUUGUAAGAGAAGAAUAGCAUCAAGAGUAACUGCUUGGUGUGUGACGGUAUCUUACCAGAAAGGAACGGCUAAAUACGUGCCAGCAGCCGCGGUAAUACGUAUGUUCCAAGCGUUAUCCGGAUUUAUUGGGCGUAAAGCGAGCGCAGACGGUUUUUUAAGUCCGAAGUGAAAGCCCACAGCUUAACCUGUGGAAGUGCUUUGGAAACUGGAUGACUUGAGUGCAGUAGAGGAGAGUGGAAUUCCAUGUGUAGCGUGAAUGCGUAGAUAAUAUGGAGGAA
rnacentral:rRNA from 1 species